rnacentral:lncRNA from 1 species
GGCUGAUGUUGCCAUGUAUGGACUAAACAAAACAGAAGUCUUAGCCGGAGACUGGUAUUGCAGUGCCAUGAACUGUGGUUCUCACAACUAUGCGAGUCGAACAAACUGCUAUAGAUGUGGUGCCUUAAAAACUGAUUAUUAUGGUAUCGGGGCACUCACAACUAUGCAAGUCGAACAAACUGCUAUAGAUGUGGUGCCUUAAAAAGCGAUUAUUAUGGUAUCGGGGCAGGAAUGAUGGCAUCAACAGGUUAUGGAUAUGAUGCAAGUUCUAUUCCUGGUUGGAAGAGUGGUGAUUGGAUUUGCAGCAGGUUAGUUCACAUAACAACACCUAUGCCUCAAUCCCGAGCAAGAUAGGCUUAACUAUAUAUAUCCUAAAUGUUCGUAUCGCUCCAAUUAAGCUUAUCUGUGUCCAAUAUUUCAAUAACAACAACACCUAUGCCUCAAUCAGAGAGGCAAAACGGGGUCGGCUAUAUGAAUCUUCACUAAUCAUGUCGCUGCAUUUAAACUUAUUUCAAACAAAUAUAAAUACAAAAUACAAUUGAAAAGCACUAGAAGUUCACUAUAUUUUCUACUGCCAUAUAUAUCUCUGAUAAGACUAGGACUCCUAGAAAACAUUGUAGUGUGAGGGUUCAAAACAAGAUUGACUAGUUUUAUGCUGACUGUUAGCCUGCAACGGCUCUCCUUCUUUGGGAUUUUAACUGAAAUAACUGCCUUGUUGUUUGACAGAUUAGGGUGUGGUGUACACAACUAUGCAAGCAGAGCAGAAUGUUAUAAAUGCAAGACACCUAGGGAUUUUGGUGAGACAUCUUCCAUGUGAUUCUUAGACAAGAGGGGUUGCUCUGAUGGUAAGCAACCCCACUUCCAACCAAUAGGUUGUGAGUUCGAGUCUCCCCAAGAGCAAGGUGGGAAGUUCU